UCCGUUCAGAGCAGCAGGAGGAGGAAGGUGGAGCUGAUGCAGACUAACUCCACCCUGACAUCAAGAAGAUGGAGGAAGAGGACGGAGCAGCAUCCAGCUGUAUGUCUGUGAGGAGUGACGGAGUUACACAAACACCUCCACCUUACAGUCAUGGACCUGCAGCAAUAAUAGGUCAGAGGUCACAGUCUCCAGCAUCCAGCUGUGUGUCUGUGAGGAGUGACUGGUCCAAAGAAAUAUUUCCUCCAGACUUCAGUCAUGAACCUGCAGCAACAAUGUUCUUCAAUCAUGGAGCUCAGCUGACCAUAGGGAGGAAGAGGAAGAGGAGUGGUGUCUGUGAGGAGGAGCAGCUGUCCUGCUGUGCUUUGUGUCAGGACGUCCUGAAGGAUCCAGUCUCUACCAGCUGUGGACACUGGUUCUGCAGACAGUGCAUGUCCUCAUACUGGGACCAGUCUGCUUCAUCAGGAGACUGGUCCUGUCCCCAGUGUGGAGAAAGAUCCAGAAGCAGAGCUGGACUGCA